GAUGAACGCUGGCGGCGUGCUUAACACAUGCAAGUCGAACGGUAAGGCCCUGCUUUUGUGGGGUGCUCGAGUGGCGAACGGGUGAGUAACACGUGAGUAACCUGCCCUUGACUUUGGGAUAACUUCUGGAAACUGGGGCUAAUACCGGAUAGGAGCUCCUACUGCAUGGUGGGGGUUGGAAAGUUUCGGCGGUCGGGGAUGGACUCGCGGCCUAUCAGCUUGUUGGUGGGGUAGUGGCUUACCAAGGCUUCGACGGGUAGCCGGCCUGAGAGGGUGACCGGCCACAGUGGGACUGAGAUACGGCCCAGACUCCUACGGGAGGCAGCAGUGGGGAAUAUUGCACAAUGGGCGGAAGCCUGAUGCAGCAACGCCGCGUGCGGGAUGACGGCCUUCGGGUUGUAAACCGCUUUCGCCUGUGACGAAGCGAGAGUGACGGUAAUUGGUAAAGAAGCACCGGCUAACUACGUG
rnacentral:rRNA from 1 species